ensembl:snRNA U6 U6 spliceosomal RNA
UUGCUCACUUUAGCAGCACAUAUACUGAAAUUAGAAUGAUGUAGAGUAUAUUAGCAUGGACUCUAGACAAGGAAGACACAAAAAAUUUAAAGUGUUCCACUUUUGU